rnacentral:lncRNA from 1 species
CUGCGGCAGCAUCCACUUGGCACUGGGCUCGACACGAACAGCGAGUCAUGUAUUGACUUAGCGGAGCAGCAUUCAAAUGCCACUUUCACCCACCUACGUCGAGGCUCUCAGGUACUUUAUCCGAUUUUGAGAUAUUAAUUAGUAUUGAUUCAAGUUCAUCCCACCGUAGUGUGACCGAUGAAAACAGCGCUGGCGCAGCACAGCUCAUUGAUCAGACGAUGAACAGCAGAUAGCAGACUGCAGCUCCAGCUCGAAAACAUCAUCACUUCCGAUCUUGUGAACCAAGUACCA